AAGCUUGAUGAUGAUGAUAUUACAAGCUAUAUUCUUAACGGAUUAGAUGCUGAGUACAAUCCGUUUGUGUCCUCUGUGUCUAUCAAGG
rnacentral:snoRNA from 1 species